GGGUGCGAUCAUACCAGCACUAAUGCACCGGAUCCCAUUAGAACUCCGCUGUUAAACGUACUUGGGCGAGAGUAGUACUAAGAUGGAUGACCUCUUGGGAAGUCCUCGUGUUGCACCGC
rnacentral:rRNA from 1 species